rnacentral:lncRNA from 1 species
GCUUGGAUUUAGAGCUUUAAGAGGCCCUGUGGCAACAGAAUCGAGAGGUAGAGCAGAGAGAGGCUUUGGGAGCCAUCGAAAGGAGUUCAACAAGCAUUGAGAGUGAGUAGCAGGCAGAGUAGAUGUAGAUAGAGCAUCGUGGCAGAGUAGAGCAUCAGGCACAACAGCUACAGUAGAGAAAUGAUGUAGCGAUUUGCUCCACAGAAAGCAUCCAGGGGCAUCGAGGACCUUGGUACUGGCAGGCCU